GGACACACAUUUUACCACUUUGGAAGUGUCUCUCGCGCAAACUAUUCAGUUUAGAAAAAAAUGAUAUUAGAAACCUCAAUAUCAUUUUUGAAGACCUAUCCAUAGAUACCCCACACGUAUGGGUUUGAUGAAAAAAAAAAAUUUUUGAGCGAUUUAUGACGUAUAAAAAAAAAACUACUUACUAGAUCUCGUUCAAACCAAUUUUCGGUGGAAGUUUACAUGGUAAUGUACAUCAUAUAUUUUUUUUAGUUUUAUCAUUCUCUUAUUUUAGAAGUUACAGGGGGGGGGGACACACAUUUUACCACUUUGGAAGUGUCUCUCGCGCAAACUAUUCAGUUUAGAAAAAAAUGAUAUUAGAAACCUCAAUAUCAUUUUUGAAGACCUAUCCAUAGAUACCCCACACGUAUGGGUUUGAUGAAAAAAAAAAAUUUUUGAGCGAUUUAUGACGUAUAAAAAAAAAACUACGUACUAGAUCUCGUUCAAACCAAUUUUCGGUGGAAGUUUACAUGGUAAUGUACAUCAUAUAUUUUUUUUAGUUUUAUCAUUCUCUUAUUUUAGAAGUUAC